rnacentral:rRNA from 1 species
CCCUUAGAUGUUCUGGGCCGCACGCGCGCUACACUGACGGGGACAACGAGUUUGCAACCUGCGCCGGUAGGUGUGGGUAAUCUUUUGAGCCCUCGUCGUGCUGGGGCUAGAUCUUUGUAAUUUUCGAUCUCAAACGAGGAAUUCCUAGUAAGCGUGAUUCAUCAGAUCGCGUUGAUUACGUCCCUGCCCUUUGUACACACCGCCCGUCGCUCCUACCGAUUGAAUGGUCCGGUGAAAAUUUCGGAUACCGGCGUUGCUGGCGGUUCGCCGCCGGCGACGCUGGUAGAAGAUCUUUAAACCUUAUCAUUUAGAGGAAGGAGAAGUCGUAACA